rnacentral:rRNA from 1 species
AGUUUGAUCCUGGCUCAGGAUGAACGCUGACAGAAUGCUUAACACAUGCAAGUCUACUUGAUCCUUCGGGUGAUGGUGGCGGACGGGUGAGUAACGCGUAAAGAACUUGCCUUGCAGUCUGGGACAACGUCUGGAAACGGACGCUAAUACCGGAUAUUAUGAUUGAAUCGCAUGAUUUAAUUAUGAAAGCUAUAUGCGCUGCGAGAGAGCUUUGCGUCCCAUUAGUUAGUUGGUGAGGUAACGGCUCACCAAGACGAUGAUGGGUAGCCGGCCUGAGAGGGUGAACGGCCACAAGGGGACUGAGACACGGCCCUUACUCCUACGGGAGGCAGCAGUGGGGAAUAUUGGACAAUGGACCAAAAGUCUGAUCCAGCAAUUCUGUGUGCACGAUGACGGUCUUAGGAUUGUAAAGUGCUUUCAAUCGGGAAAAAGAAAGUGAUGGUACCGAUAGAAGAAGCGACGGCUAAAUACGUGCCAGCAGCCGCGGUAAUACGUAUGUCGCAAGCGUUAUCCGGAUUUAUUGGGCGUAAAGCGCGUCUAGGCGGUCUGGUAAGUCUGAUGUGGAAAUGCGGGGCUCAACUCCGUAUUGCGUUGGAAACUGCCAGACUAGAGUACUGGAGAGGUGGGCGGAACUACAAGUGUAGAGGUGAAAUUCGUAGAUAUUUGUAGGAAUGCCGAUAGAGAAGUCAGCUCACUGGACAGAUACUGACGCUGAAGCGCGAAAGCAUGGGGAGCAAACAGGAUUAGAUACCCUGGUAGUCCAUGCCGUAAACGAUGAGUACUAGGUGUCGGAGGUUACCCCCUUCGGUGCCGCAGCUAACGCAUUAAGUACUCCGCCUGGGGAGUACGCACGCAAGUGUGAAACUCAAAGGAAUUGACGGGGACCCGCACAAGUAGCGGAGCAUGUGGUUUAAUUCGAAGCAACGCGAAGAACCUUACCUACACUUGACAUCCCUUGCAUUACUCUUAAUCGAGGAAAUCCCUUCGGGGACAAGGUGACAGGUGGUGCAUGGUUGUCGUCAGCUCGUGUCGUGAGAUGUUGGGUUAAGUCCCGCAACGAGCGCAACCCUUGUCUUUAGUUGCCAUCAUUUAGUUGGGCACUCUAGAGAGACUGCCAGGGAUAACCUGGAGGAAGGUGGGGAUGACGUCAAAUCAUCAUGCCCCUUAUGCCUAGGGCUACACACGUGCUACAGUGGGUGGUACAGAGGGCAGCCAAGCCGUGAGGUGGAGCAAAUCCCUUAAAGCCAUUCUCAGUUCGGAUUGUAGGCUGAAACUCGCCUACAUGAAGUUGGAGUUACUAGUAAUCGCAAAUCAGAAUGCUGCGGUGAAUGCGUUCCCGGGUCU